AUUGAACGCUGGCGGCAGGCCUAACACAUGCAAGUCGAACGAGUGGCGGACGGGUGAGUAAUGUCUGGUAAACUGCCCGAUGGAGGGGGAUAACUACUGGAAACGGUAGCUAAUACCGCAUACCAUCGGAUGUACCCAGAUGGGAUUAGCUAGUAGGGGGGGUAAAGGCUCACCUAGGCGACGAUACCUAGCUGGUCUGAGAGGAAGACCAGCCACACGGGGACUGAGACACGGUCCAGACUCCUCCGGGAGGAAGCAGUGGGGAAUAUUGCACAAUGGGCGCAAGCCGGAUGCAGCCAUGCCGCGUGUAUGAAGAAGGCCUUCGGGUUGUAAAGUACUUUCAGCGGGGAGGCGUUACCCGCAGAAGAAGCACCGGCUAACUCCGUGCCAGCAGCCGCGGUAAUUC
rnacentral:rRNA from 1 species